rnacentral:lncRNA from 1 species
GCCGAGAUGAAACGAUAUUUAAAUGUUUUUUUUUGUGUAGUUUAGGUAGCCAAUACAUAGUAGGGACCUUCAAAUGUUCAGAAGAAGCCUUAAGCUUUGAUGUGGUUGUGAUAUGUUUGUUUACUAUAUGACUCUCUGUGGAGCAGAUGGACUUGAAUGUAGAUGAAUUUAAAAUUUCAUUCUUAAGAACGUCCGUGUAAUAUUUACGGCA